ACACUACCUUUUUCUAUACUGCAUGUAGAAGUUAGAAAGAGAAGGGAAAAGAAGAAAGAAGGGGAGGAGAUCAGGAGGAGGAAGAAGGGGGCCGGUGCCCCUCUCACCCAGCUGCUGGUCUGUGCAGCAGCAAGGGAGGAGGAGAAAGGGAGAAGGGAAGGAGAAGGAGGAGAAGAAAGAGGAAAAUCCUGAGCUCUUGUCAAGUUGCUCGUGGUUGCCCUAGGUGGUGGUGCUCCUGAUCGUGUUUGAAGGUUGUCGGUUGUAUCGAAAAAAGGCAAGUAAACGUAGAGGUGCUUCAUGCUUGCUUGCUUGGACGGGAUGGGAGUAGCAGCACUUCUACAUGUUAUAAUUACACAUAUUAAUACAGUAGUGGUGUUGUAAUAAUAAUGCAAGUGUUGGAGUUGUUUAGCUCUUAGUGUUGCUUAGCGUUGGUAAACUUGUUUUAGUUUGCUUUGUUGGAGGUCAAAAAUUUAAUGCCUUAAUGCAUUCGUUUUGCUAGGAUACU